rnacentral:rRNA from 1 species
UACGGAGGGUGCGAGCGUUGUCCGGAAUCACUGGGCGUAAAGGGCGCGUAGGCGGCUUUUUAAGCGUGCGGUGAAAGCCCGGGGCUCAACCCCGGGUCGGCCGUGCGAACUGGGAGGCUUGAGCACUGUAGAGGGCGGUGGAAUUCCGGGUGGAGCGGUGGAAUGCGUAGAGAUCCGGAGGAACACCGACGGCGUAGGCAGCGCCCCUAGACGAGACCUGACGCUCAGGCACGAAAGCGCGGGGAGCGGAACAGG